rnacentral:rRNA from 1 species
AGCGAACGCUGGCGGCAGGCCUAACACAUGCAAGUCGAACGAAGCCUUCGGGCUUAGUGGCGGACGGGUGAGUAACACGUGGGAACGUACCUUUCGGUUCGGAACAACUCAGGGAAACUUGAGCUAAUACCGGAUGAGCCCUUAGGGGGAAAGAUUUAUCGCCGAAAGAGCGGCCCGCGUUAGAUUAGCUAGUUGGGGAGGUAAAGGCUCACCAAGGCAACGAUCUAUAGCUGGUCUGAGAGGAUGAUCAGCCACACUGGGACUGAGACACGGCCCAGACUCCUACGGGAGGCAGCAGUGGGGAAUCUUGCGCAAUGGGCGAAAGCCUGACGCAGCCAUGCCGCGUGAAUGAUGAAGGUCUUAGGAUUGUAAAAUUCUUUUACCAGGGACGAUAAUGACGGUACCUGGAGAAAAAGCCCCGGCUAACUUCGUGCCAGCCGCCGCAGUAAAAC